GCAGUGGAUUACUUCGGGGGCACCAGUUAAAUUGGCCGAGCCUCCUCCUUUGUCCAUCACUUGGAGGUCCCUGCCCUCUAAGAGCAUUGUUGUGGUUUUGGGACAGGACAACAUGGGCAUCCCCCUUUUUUGCUAGACUUUUAGUGACACACAAGGCCUGUUAAGACAGCAGAUUUAAUGGGAGUGACAGAAAUUCAGCUUCACCCCUACCUGCAUUCCUGAGUGAAUGGCUGAACUGCACCUCGUACCAAUACUUUGGUCAGCCGUGUACUUCAUCUGAUAACAAAGGUGUAAAUCACACCUCCGCAGAGACUCCUUCAGACAAAAAGGUGCCCAGAUGGAUUUUCAUCAAACUCAACUCCGGUUCAGUGGGAUUUACAAACUAAUGUGCCUAUAAGCAGGCACUGGACGUGUAACUGGAAGUGAUCUUACUCUAACCCCCUGAGGUUACACCUCCCUUCAAGAUUACCUGCACUCACCUCAUCUGUUGUCUUUGGAAAGAUCAAAGCUGACAAUCAGGCCUCUUUGGGGGGAAAUGUAAAAGGCAAGCCUCAGUCUUUGAUGGAGCUGAAAGCCACCCACUGUCUGCAGAAAAUAAACACCUCAUAAACUUUGUUUGGCCUGGACGCUUCUCUCCAUAGAACACCCUGAACUAGCUGUAAGAUCUGCUCUGCGCCGGAGACUGAGAAGUAACUAUUAUUUCUAGAAGGGAACUUCAGUGCAUACAGAAAGAGUAACGUUAUUCCUAUGAGGCUACAGAGAGCACAGUAAAGAGCAUAAUGUCACGUGAAGAAGGCAGCAUCACAUCACACCACGAACACUGGACCAUGUAGCAGACACCAAGAGUGCAUUCCAGUACAAAAUGAGUCCUUUAUUUGAACCUGGAGCAACAACACUGAAAGUCACAAUCAUCAUCCUUAAAGUCCUGGUAUCGGAAAAUUAUAUAUCUCUGCCAAGAACUCUAAAUAGCCAAUGAGUGGGCUUCAUUCAAGUCAAUAAUGUAAGGGAUAGAGACCACCUGCUGCAGAUAAAGAUGACCUAGUAGUGAAGAGCAACAAGUGAGCAACUGGCAACCACAAGGUUGUCCCUUCACAUCGGAUUCACCAGCCCAUAAUUUAAGGAUGUCUAAGAUGUUGUGUUCUCCUGUACACUUGAAUGUUAAAAUAAAGAUGGUCAGCAUUUCAGUGAGCCAAACUAGAAAGCAGCAGUUAUGAAGAGCUACAGCCAGCACUGUAGUGUACUGGACUCUCAGAUACACGUCUAUGGCUGACUUUCAGGUCUCUGCUGUUUUCACCGUGUUUAAUAUUUGUAUUGUUGUAAUUAGUUUUGGUAUUUGGUGCUCUGUUGUACUAGGGGGCUUUGCCCCCUGCUCGCUUAGCUUGCCCACACCCACACCCCCACCCCC